rnacentral:rRNA from 1 species
CCUACGGGUGGCUGCAGUGGGGAAUAUUGGACAAUGGGCGAAAGCCUGAUCCAGCCAUGCCGCGUGUGUGAAGAAGGCCUUCGGGUUGUAAAGCACUUUCAGUGGGGAAGAAAGCCUUGGGGCUAAUACCCUCGAGGAAGGACAUCACCCACAGAAGAAGCACCGGCUAACUCCGUGCCAGCAGCCGCGGUAAUACGGAGGGUGCGAGCGUUAAUCGGAAUUACUGGGCGUAAAGCGCGCGUAGGCGGUCUGAUAAGCCGGUUGGGAAAGCCCCGGGCUCAACCUGGGAACGGCAUCCGGAACUGUCAGGCUAGGGUGCAGGAGAGGAAGGUAGAAUUCCCGGUGUAGCGGUGAAAUGCGUAGAGAUCGGGAGGAAUACCAGUGGCGAAGGCGGCCUUCUGGACUGACACUGACGCUGAGGUGCGAAAGCGUGGGUAGCAAACAGGAUAGAUACCCCUGUAGUC